UACGUAGGGGGCAAGCGUUGUCCGGAAUCAUUGGGCGUAAAGCGCGUGUAGGCGGCCAGGUAAGUCCGUUCUGAAAGCCCGGGGCUCAACCCCGGGAGGCGGAUGGAUACUGCUUGGCUCGAGUCCGGAAGAGGCGAGUGGAAUUCCCGGUGUAGCGGUGAAAUGCGCAGAUAUCGGGAGGAACACCAAUGGCGAAGGCAGCUCGCUGGGACGGUACUGACGCUGAGACGCGGAAGCGUGGGGAGCAAACAGG
rnacentral:rRNA from 1 species